AAAUAAUUUGAGCGUUAGUAGAAAAACCUACUAGAUGCUAGCUUUCAGAUUCAGGGAAACUUGGGUUGACAAAAAUAUAAGCAAUCCUGAGCCAAAUAUUAUUUCGUUUAAAAAUAAGAUAGGUGCAGAGACUCAAUGGAAGCUAUCCUAACGAAUAAUAUUUUCAAAAUUAUUUAAAAUUUAUUUUUUGGAUAUUUGGAUAUUUGGAUAUUAAGCGAGGAUAAAGAUAGAGUCCAAUUUUACAUGUUAAUUUUAGCAACAAUUUAAAUUGUAGUAGAAAGAAAAUCCGUUGGCUUUAUUGACCGUGAGGGUUCAAGUCCCUCUACCCCC
rnacentral:tRNA from 1 species